rnacentral:lncRNA from 1 species
CUUUGUUGGGUACAUAGGGGACAGAUGAGCUGGAAAGUGAGGAAAGACAUGUUACUGCUCCCUUGCUUCCAUGGCAACCGGAAUGUAACUGAAAUCCAUGUCUUAGCCAAACAUCGUCUACUCGUCAAAUAAUGAAGGAACAAAAGCCCAUAUACUUUUUGAAAUGCAGACAAGAAGCUCAAUCCUCAGAGACAGCCUCCAUGUCAAAGGUGUUGAACUGAAGUACCCAUUUCUGCUAGGCAUGGUGCCAACAUUUUCCAGACCAUUUAAGGCAUUGCUUAGGGAGUUGAUGUCACUUGAAGAACAAAAGAAUGUGAAUGUCCUCAAGAUGCAUACAGUCUACAGUCCCAAAACCCAGAGGCUGAGCAUGAAGGCUGUCAAGGGUCUCUGACACAUGUGAGUGGGUUGCUUUCUCUGGCAAAAACAAAACAAAACAAACAACAAAAACCACUUGCAGAGGAGAUAAUGUUGAGAACCUUGCGAUGAUGAGGUCAUCCUUGGUGGUCCAUGAGGGCUUACAUCAUCAUGAAGACUUUGGAGGGAUGAUGCAGGAAUGUCAGAGUCAGGGAAAGAAAUGCAAACAGAAGCGGACUACCUAGUGUGAGAGAACGGCUUAUAGAUGGAAGAAAGGCCCUUGAGCAGGGACAGGAAAGAGGCGCUUCCUGAAGAGGCUACAGGUCAAACUCAUGGAACUGAAGCGGCUACUUUCAGAUGAAGGUAAAAGGCCAAGAGGUACACAUAGAACUUGCCUUGACAUCUCUGAGUCACUGGACAGAUGCCUGCAAUUGCCUGCCACUGGAUCUAUCGUCUCAUUAGACAAAUACCUCCACUUCUCUCUGUGCUCACUGCCACACAGCAGAAGACAUUUUGACUCCAGUACAGCUGUCAAUGAGAGUAUGUGGUAGAGUCUAUUGGUCAUUAUGGACAUUCAUGUUACAUGUUAAGUCAAAAAGGCAUGCUGUAACAUAUCUGAACUAUGAUCCUAUACAUUAAUACAUGACUUAUUCACAUAAAAACUAUUUCCAAGGUGAUAUCUUCAGAUAUCAAAAUGUCUACUUUGGGGACAUUGUUUAGCUUCUUUAGUAUUUUUUUUCUGUAGAAAUGAAAAUAAGUCAGUUAUUUAGUGGUUUUUAAACAAGAAAGAAAAAAAGAACAUCCCUGUAUAGUCCCAAUGUGGUCUGUGGACAAGAUGACAGCAGACUCUGCUUAUCUGUAAGUAGGAAGCAAAGGAAAGGUAAGUGGGGGUCUUAUAGUGAUAGUGGGUGUGGUUCAGCCCCUGCAGGCAAAGAUGAGGAAUGUGAACGCCUUUAGUUUACUGGGGGCACAGGAAUGAUAGCAUGAGCUUCCUGACAAGAUUCAGAAGACAACUACCUAUGGUAAAUCAACCAACAGAAUAGGACAUUUAC